GUCUAUGGACAUACCACCCUGAGUGCGGUCCAUCUCGUCUGAUCUCAGAAGCUAAGCAGGGUUGGGCCUGGUUAGUACUUGGAUGGGAGAAAUGAAAAGAGGUAAAAUC
rnacentral:rRNA from 1 species